UGUUCACCUAUUCUCUUCAUACAUUAAUAUGAUGAAGAGGAGCUUCCUCAGUGUCAUUUUGUAAACAUCUUGUGUCCCUUGAACUGGCUGGCUUGCUUUCAGCCUCAGUCAAAUGAAAGAUUUGCUUUUCUGUGUGUGCAGAACUGGAAGUCUUUUCUUUCUUUCUCCCUGGCAGAACCUGAAGCGUUGAACACCUCUCCACUACCACUGAUGUACUUCUGCUAAAAAUGAUGCUUGAGAAGUCGUCGAAAACAUACAUCAGAACAGAGGAGUUCACCACUCACAAGGGACCCACACAAGGAUAAUACCGAUGAUAACCUGCAUCCUCUUUAUAUGUGAAAAUGUCACCUUACAAAGGCAGGUGCUGUGUUUGACAACUCUUAGCCUCUGGAAGAUGCUCUUUUUAAGGCAACCUGUUCCUAACUUUAAUUAGGUAAGUAGCAUAUCCUGUUCUAGAUAGGUUAUUCAUAUCUAGUUCAUAUAUUUGAUUUGUGUCAGUAUGUCAAGCAGAGGCCAGACACCUUUAAUAGGAGACAGUAGAGAGAUAUAAAGUGAAUCAAAGCUUUAGACUCUUACAUCUGCUUCUAACAGGCUAUCCUGCAAAAAUGGAGGAGCCCUAGAUUGAGCUGCUGAGUGGUUUUAAGAAUCAGUGCAGGCUUCUUGCCCAAUUCUAUUUAGCUGAGGUCAUGGACACACAUCCUCCCCCAGCCACAGAUGUGUUUGCUGACAAGGCACCAUAAGCUUUCUUUCAGCCUAGCAGCAUUUCCCUGCAUCUGGUUGACAUUACAGCAGGUAUAACAGGUCCUGUGAGCACUCUCUACUUCCCUUAAUUGAAGAUGAGCUGCAUUACUUUAAAUGGUCAAAUAAGAAUGUUUUGCUGAUAUCAGCAAAUUUUCAUGUCUGCUUGGAAGGGAAGGGGAAGAGAGGGAGAGGGAAAUUCCCCACUUUUUUCAGUAGUGUACAUCCACAGUAAGCCGAAUUGAGCUCCAGCAAGG
rnacentral:lncRNA from 1 species